CCUAUGGAAAAGUUUUAUCAAAAUGUAUUUACAUUAAAAAGCACUUUCAUUCUGUGUUUCUUAUGUAGGUGGAUGGUUUGUGAUUUUAUCUUCUUUUGACCAUCAUGAUGGUUGAGUGAAGGUGAGACAGAGUUGCUAUGCUGGAAACUGACUUUGGUAUGCGUCUCUUUUAUCUGGGGCACGGAGUGCUGAUCUGCGUCUGACCAGUAGUUACUAUGAGCUGUGUGUGGCCUGUGUGGUAAUUUCAACGGUAACGGUGGAGAUGAGCUGAGAGACCCUGCUGGAAACCUUCUGCCCAGUCUGUACCAGAGGGCAAAGAGCUGGAGAGCAGAAGACAGUAUCACCUCAGUGUGUCAUGAUGCAUACGAGACCGACUGCUCUGCUUGCCCUCCUGAUCAACGUGCCCUCUACGAAACAGACAUUUCUGUGGUGUCCUGACAUAUAUAGGCCAGAAUGUGUUUAGUGCAUGUCAUGCUAAAGUGUACCCACAGGUGUUCCAGCAAAGCUGUGUGUACGAUCUCUUCUUCAAUUACGGAGACCGAAAACUUCUCUGUCAGGCUCUGGAGACAUACGUCCAACAGUGUCUUCAAGAGGGUGUCGUUAUUACAGAUUGGAGAGAAAGAUUUAAUUGAUGUAUGUUUGUUUAAACUCUCAUAGAGCAUAUGUUUGUAUGCUUAACUUUAACCAUGGACCUCUUCUUGUUCUUUUACAGCUAUGAGUUGCCCACCCAACAGUCAUUAUGAGGCCUGUCCGUCUUCGUGUCCAGCAACGUGUCCAUACCCAAAUCAGCAGCCGAAUUGCACUGAUACCUGUGUGGAAGCCUAUUAUGCAUGUGAUAGAGCUGGAGGAGGGUUGGUGAAUUUUUCUGUGUACACACAGAAUGAGCAGGUUAGAAACACAAGGGUUUCGAACAUCAAGAAUUUGACUGUGACCAUCUACAACCUGAUAAUGAGCAUCAGACGAGGUGAACUCUCGAGAGUCGUCGUAAGUCUUCAUCUAGUUUGGCCUUGUUUUUGUUUUCUGUCUUCUUAUUUAGCCAGAAUGCACUGAAAUUGACAAAAAUGGACAGUAAAGUAUAAUGUCGUUGUGGAAGGUUUCCAUUACAGAUAAAUGCUGUGUUUCUU
rnacentral:lncRNA from 1 species